rnacentral:misc_RNA from 1 species
AGUUAUGAGUCCCUUUUCUAAACUAAAAAUGUAAGUUGUUUCAUAUAUCAAUGAAUUCUAAUAUCUUUUUUAGUUUAGAAAAGGGACUCAUAACUAAAAGGCCUAUCUAAAACAACCCCACCCAAAUCCAAAUUGAGGGUCCAAGCCCUUCAAAAAACCCUAGCUGAUGAUGCACCAUUGCCCAGACCCAUGAUCCGCCUGAAGAAAAGAAAAGCUACUGCAGAAGGAGCUGCGUAGAGAGAUGAUUGAACUUUCACCAGUGAAAGACAACUUUGAUUGAAGCAUCAAUGGACUACAAACGACUAACAUCGCCUUAAAAGAGAGUCCCGAAAGCAACCCAGGGUGAAAAAGGCUAGGCAAUCUAGAAGACCUCCUGAAAAUAGAAGCACCAGCCAUGGCAACACCGCUGUUAGGAUUGAAUGGGUAGGAAAGAUCUAGAAAACUCAAACCCACAAAAGCAGUGCUAAAGCCCCUAGAUCCAAAGCUUGAAAGGAGCAGAAAUUUGAGAGAAAGGUAGAGCCCUGUGGCUUCUCAUUCUCAUAUAGCCGGAGGGGGCGACACUCACUCGGUCAACUCUUAACCCUCGGGGUACCUUCCUCUCUCUCUACCACAGCAAUUGAAGCAAUUUCCCCUCUAGAGCAACAACACAAACACAAAAACACAUGCAAACUAACAUAGAGUCAAAUAGGUCAAAUGAACUGCAGACAUGUAAACCAAAAAUAAAAUAACCUAUCUAUAAUCCAUCCCGGAGGGGAGGGUGUAACCCAUAUUCGGGCUGAGGGACGAGCUCCCCCUGCCCUUGAGGAGCAGAGGGAGCCGCUGGUCGGCAGAAUAAGGAGGAACUAGACCCUAGCUAAACAAAUAGAAAUGAGAGAAAAAACAAGGAACCCUCUUCACAAUACACAAACAAUG